GACGAACGCUGGCGGCGCGCCUAACACAUGCAAGUCGAACGAGAGAUGAGGAGCUUGCUCUUCAGAUCGAGUGGCGAACGGGUGAGUAACGCGUGAGGAACCUGCCUCAAAGAGGGGGACAACAGUUGGAAACGACUGCUAAUACCGCAUAAGCCCACAGCUCGGCAUCGAGCAGAGGGAAAAGGAGCAAUCCGCUUUGAGAUGGCCUCGCGUCCGAUUAGCUAGUUGGUGAGGUAACGGCCCACCAAGGCGACGAUCGGUAGCCGGACUGAGAGGUUGAACGGCCACAUUGGGACUGAGACACGGCCCAGACUCCUACGGGAGGCAGCAGUGGGGAAUAUUGCACAAUGGGGGAAACCCUGAUGCAGCGACGCCGCGUGGAGGAAGAAGGUCUUCGGAUUGUAAACUCCUGUUGUUGAGGAAGAUAAUGACG
rnacentral:rRNA from 1 species